rnacentral:rRNA from 1 species
GGACUACCAGGGUAUCUAAUCCUGUUUGCUACCCACGCUUUCGCUCCUCAGCGUCAGUUCCGGCCCAGAGUGCCGCCUUCGCCGCUGGUGUUCUUCCUGAUAUCUGCGCAUUUCACCGCUACACCAGGAGUUCCACACUCCCCUACCGGACUCUAGCCACAGCAGUAUCAGGUGGCGUCUCCAGGUUGAGCCUGGAGGUUUCACACCCGACUUACCGAGCCGCCUACGAGCUCUUUACGCCCAAUAAAUCCGGACAACGCUCGCCCCCUACGUGUUACCGCGGCUGCUGGCAC